GACGAACCGUGCGAACGUUGUUCGGAAUCACUGGGCUUAAAGGGCGCGUAGGCGGGCCGCCGCGUCCGGGGUGAAAUCCUCCCGCUCAACGGGAGAACGGCCUCGGAUACGGGCGGCCUGGAGGCGGGUAGGGGCACGCGGAACUGUGGGUGGAGCAGUGAAAUGCGUUGAGAUCCACAGGAACUCCGGUGGCGAAGGCGGCCCACUGGAUCGGUACUGACGCUGAGGUGCGAAAGCGUGGGGAGCAAACAGG
rnacentral:rRNA from 1 species